AGCAGCCCGCAGCGGCGGCGGGUCCGGAGCGGGUCCGGCUCGGCGGCGGCGAUGGCUGCGCCGGGGCAAGGCGCGGGGGCUGCGCGGCGCCGCGGGCGGCUCCCGCUGCUGCUGUUCGGCCUGGCGGCAUUCUUGCCGGCGUUCAUGUACUCAUUGAAGGUGUCUCCACUCAUAGAAAAAAUAAGUGACCACAAGGAUUUUAAGAAGCUUCUCAGGACACGGAAUAACAUACUAGCGCUGUAUUCCAAAUCUGCUGCUGCUGCGGAAAGCUCACUCAGGUUACUCUCCAGCGUGGCCCAGGAGGUGAAAGGACGAGGUACUAUAAGCUGGAUAGACUGCGGUGAUACUGAAAGCCGAAAAUUAUGCAAGAAGAUGAAAGUAGAUCCUAAUUCAAAGGAGAAAGGAGUGGAAUUACUCCAUUAUAAGGACGGUGCAUUUCAUACUGAAUAUAACAGAGCGGUCACAUUGAAGUCUAUGGUGGCUUUUCUCAAGGAUCCAGAAGGUGCCCCACUGUGGGAGGAAGAUCCUGAGGCCAAAGAUGUUGUGCAUGUUGACAGUGAAAAGGAAUUGAGAAGGCUUCUGAAGAAGGAAGACAAACCCCUUCUGAUGAUGUUCUAUGCCCCAUGGUGUGGUGUUUGUAAGAGAAUGAUGCCAUCUUAUCAGCAGGCAGCCACAGAACUGAAGGGUAAAUAUGUUCUUGCGGGGAUGAAUGUUUACUCUGCUGAAUUUGAAAGGAUAAAGGAAGAAUACAAUGUCCGGGGAUAUCCUACAAUCUGCUAUUUUGAGAAAGGAAAGUUCCUGUUCCACUUUGAGAACUAUGGUGCUACUGCGGCAGAUAUAGCAGAGUGGCUGAAAAACCCACAGGCACCUCAGCCACAGGCUCCAGAGACUCCCUGGGCAGAUGAAGAAAAUGUAGUUUAUCACCUGACUGAUGAGGACUUCGACAAGUUUAUAAAAGAUCAUUCAUCUGUGCUAGUGAUGUUCCAUGCACCAUGGUGUGGGCACUGUAAGAAAAUGAAGCCAGAAUAUGAGAAGGCUGCAGAGUUUCUCCAUGUAGCCAGUGAUAGUCCAGGUGUCCUUGCAGCAGUCGAUGCUACCGUCAACAAGGCGCUGGCAGAAAGAUACCACAUCUCAGGGUUUCCUACUUUGAAGUAUUUUAAGGAUGGAGAGGAGAAAUACACUCUGCCACACCUCAGAACAAAGAAGAAGAUCAUAGACUGGCUGCUAAAUCCUGAAGCACCACCUCCACCUGAGCCUGCGUGGGAAGAAAAACAGACUAGUGUUAUCCACCUUGCUGGAGAAGACUUCAGGGAGUCCUUGAAGAAGAAGAAGCACACCCUUGUCAUGUUCUAUGCACCAUGGUGUCCCCACUGCAAAAAUGCCAUUCCGCAUUUUACAACUGCUGCCGAAGUCUUUAAAGAAGAUCGAAAGUGUCACCAUGAAACUGGAGGGCAUUGUGGAAUAUUAAGUGAUCUUUUAAUUAUGGAAGAACAGUUCAACUGCAACCCUAAAGUCAUGCAAGCAAAAGAUCGCCUACGCUGCAGUGGACUGCGCCAAAGGACAGAAUCACGACCUGUGUAAGCAGGAGGGGGUUGAUGGCUACCCCACCUUCAACUAUUACAACUAUGGGAAAUUUGUGGAAAAAUAUACUGGAGAAAGAGGGGAGUCCGGAUUCACCACUUUCAUGCGAACCCUGAGAGAAAGAGACCAUGAAAGAGUAGGAAAGAAGAAGGAUGAAUUGUAGUUUCUGCCUCAAAAGAAGCUUUCCGCUGCACUGUGAAUAGUUCCAGGUCUUUUGUUAAUGCACCUGAGACUUCACAUAUUCUCAAGACAGAGACUUUUUUUUAUAAACAGCCAUGGCCAUUUUGUACAAUUUUGAAAUAAAGUGAAACCACUUGAUUUUUAAAAGGAAAAUAAAUUAGAAUGUUGCCAUAAUGUUUUAAAGAAAA